UUCGUACGUGACCUGCGGAGGAUCAUUA
rnacentral:rRNA from 1 species